ACAUGCAAGUCGAACGGCAGCACGGGAGCAAUCCUGGUGGCGAGUGGCGAACGGUGAGUAAUAUAUCGGAACGUGCCCAGUCGUGGGGGAUAACGUAGCGAAAGCUACGCUAAUACCGCAUACUAUCUAUGGAUGAAAGCGGGGGAUCGCAAGACCUCGCGCGAUUGGAGCGGCCGAUAUCAGAUUAGGUAGUUGGUGAGGUAAAGGCUCACCAAGCCGACGAUCUGUAGCUGGUCUGAGAGGACGACCAGCCACACUGGGACUGAGACACGGCCCAGACUCCUACGGGAGGCAGCAGUGGGGAAUUUUGGACAAUGGGCGCAAGCCUGAUCCAGCAAUGCCGCGUGCAGGAUGAAGGCCUUCGGGUUGUAAACUGCUUUUGUACGGAACGAAACGGUGAGCUCUAAUACAGUUUGCUAAUGACGGUACCGUAAGAAUAAGCACCGGCUAACUACGUG
rnacentral:rRNA from 1 species